rnacentral:lncRNA from 1 species
UUGGAACUACGUGGACGCUCUGUCAAUCAUAUGGUCUCACCAGUGUGUGGUGUGCUUCCUUGCGGGUCAUACACAUGAUGGUGGCUACUCUGAGGAUCCUUUCGGCGUGCACCACGUCAACCUGGAAGGAGUUAUUGAAACAGCUCCGGACAGCCAGGCCUUUGGCACAGUUCAUGUCUACCCUGACAAAAUGCUGCUGAAAGGGAGAGGCAGAGUUCCAGACAGAAUUAUGAAUUACAAAAGGGAAUAAGCCUUGUGUUUUUGAUCCUGUUAUCUUGUUUGCUUUGUAGAAGUGAAUGGCACUGUUUUAUGUUUUACUUCAUUCCAUAAAAAGUUAAAUUCUCAGUCACACUGUU